rnacentral:rRNA from 1 species
GACGAACCGUACGAACGUUAUUCGGAAUCACUGGGCUUAAAGGGUGCGUAGGCGGCCCGGAAAGUUGGGUGUGAAAUCCCUCGGCUUAACCGAGGAAUGGCGCCCAAAACUACCGGGCUCGAGGGAGACAGAGGUGGGCGGAACUUAGGGUGGAGCGGUGAAAUGCGUUGAUAUCCUAAGGAACACCAGUAGCGAAAGCGGCCCACUGGGUCUCUUCUGACGCUGAUGCACGAAAGCUAGGGGAG